UUCUUAUCGAGAGAAGGGGAGGGACGGACCCAAUGAACCUUCGGCAACCUUCAGGCUUGAAGGCCUGAAAAGGUGCCAAUUUCCGCCGGGUAACCGGAGAGAUAAGAA
rnacentral:ncRNA from 17 species